rnacentral:rRNA from 1 species
GAUGAACGCUGGCGGCGUGCCUAAUACAUGCAAGUCGAGCGAACGGACGAGAGGCUUGCUUCUCUGAUGUUAGCGGCGGACGGGUGAGUAACACGUGGAUAACCUACCUAUAAGACUGGGAUAACUUCGGGAAACCGGAGCUAAUACCGGAUAAUAUUUUGAACCGCAUGGUUCAAAAGUGAAAGACGGUCUUGCUGUCACUUAUAGAUGGAUCCGCGCUGCAUUAGCUAGUUGGUAAGGUAACGGCUUACCAAGGCAACGAUGCAUAGCCGACCUGAGAGGGUGAUCGGCCACACUGGAACUGAGACACGGUCCAGACUCCUACGGGAGGCAGCAGUAGGGAAUCUUCCGCAAUGGGCGAAAGCCUGACGGAGCAACGCCGCGUGAGUGAUGAAGGUCUUCGGAUCGUAAAACUCUGUUAUUAGGGAAGAACAUAUGUGUAAGUAACUGUGCACAUCUUGACGGUACCUAAUCAGAAAGCCACGGCUAACUACGUGCCAGCAGCCGCGGUAAUACGUAGGUGGCAAGCGUUAUCCGGAAUUAUUGGGCGUAAAGCGCGCGUAGGCGGUUUUUUAGUCUGAUGUGAAAGCCCACGGCUCAACCGUGGAGGGUCAUUGGAAACUGGAAAACUUGAGUGCAGAAGAGGAAAGUGGAAUUCCAUGUGUAGCGGUGAAAUGCGCAGAGAUAUGGAGGAACACCAGUGGCGAAGGCGACUUUCUGGUCUGUAACUGACGCUGAUGUGCGAAAGCGUGGGGAUCAAACAGGAUUAGAUACCCUGGUAGUCCACGCCGUAAACGAUGAGUGCUAAGUGUUAGGGGGUUUCCGCCCCUUAGUGCUGCAGCUAACGCAUUAAGCACUCCGCCUGGGGAGUACGACCGCAAGGUUGAAACUCAAAGGAAUUGACGGGGACCCGCACAAGCGGUGGAGCAUGUGGUUUAAUUCGAAGCAACGCGAAGAACCUUACCAAAUCUUGACAUCCUUUGACAACUCUAGAGAUAGAGCCUUCCCCUUCGGGGGACAAAGUGACAGGUGGUGCAUGGUUGUCGUCAGCUCGUGUCGUGAGAUGUUGGGUUAAGUCCCGCAACGAGCGCAACCCUUAAGCUUAGUUGCCAUCAUUAAGUUGGGCACUCUAAGUUGACUGCCGGUGACAAACCGGAGGAAGGUGGGGAUGACGUCAAAUCAUCAUGCCCCUUAUGAUUUGGGCUACACACGUGCUACAAUGGACAAUACAAAGGGCAGCGAAACCGCGAGGUCAAGCAAAUCCCAUAAAGUUGUUCUCAGUUCGGAUUGUAGUCUGCAACUCGACUACAUGAAGCUGGAAUCGCUAGUAAUCGUAGAUCAGCAUGCUACGGUGAAUACGUUCCCGGGUCU